rnacentral:misc_RNA from 1 species
UUAUUAGCUAAUGAAAACGAUGAUGAUGAACUUACGAGUGUUGGUGCGACGGUGGUUGGUGAGACUCCAAGGGCAUUUUGGCGGGAACAGAAAAGUGACCGUUGAAUCUCCGGCUUUGGCAGCGGAGAACCAGCUAUAUGUAAAAAUGGAAACUUCGAUGCCAUUGACCUCGAGUCUCCGGCGAGGUGUGAGAGAGAGAGCGUGUGAGUGAGUGAACAAAUAAGCUUGCAACGAAC